rnacentral:rRNA from 1 species
GUCUAUGGUCAUACCACUCCGAACACACCCAAUCUUGUCUGAUCUUGGAAGCUAAGCAGGGUCCGGCCUGGUUAGUACUUGGACGGGAGACCACCUGGUGAUACUGGAUGCUGUAGGCU